AAUAGAUACCCAGGUAGUCCAUGCCGUAAACGUUGGGCACUAGGUGUGGGGGACAUUCCACGUUUUCCGCGCCGUAGCUAACGCAUUAAGUGCCCCGCCUGGGGAGUACGGCCGCAAGGCUAAAACUCAAAGGAAUUGACGGGGGCCCGCACAAGCGGCGGAGCAUGCGGAUUAAUUCGAUGCAACGCGAAGAACCUUACCAAGGCUUGACAUGAACCGGACCGCUGUAGAAAUGUGGUUUCCCCUUUGGGGCUGGUUUACAGGUGGUGCAUGGUUGUCGUCAGCUCGUGUCGUGAGAUGUUGGGUUAAGUCCCGCAACGAGCGCAACCCUCGUUCUAUGUUGCCAGCACGUGAUGGUGGGGACUCAUAGGAGACUGCCGGGGUCAACUCGGAGGAAGGUGGGGACGACGUCAAAUCAUCAUGCCCCUUAUGUCUUGGGCUUCACGCAUGCUACAAUGGCCGGUACAAAGGGUUGCGAUACUGUGAGGUGGAGCUAAUCCCAAAAAGCCGGUCUCAGUUCGGAUUGGGGUCUGCAACUCGACCCC
rnacentral:rRNA from 1 species